AUUGAACGCUGGCGGCAGGCCUAACACAUGCAAGUCGAACGCGUGGCGGACGGGUGAGUAAUGUCUGGGAAACUGCCUGAUGGAGGGGGAUAACUACUGGAAACGGUAGCUAAUACCGCAUACCAUCGGAUGUGCCCAGAUGGGAUUAGCUAGUCGGGGGGGUAAAGGCUCAACUAGGCGACGAUCCCUAGCUGGUCUGAGAGGAUGACCAGCAACACUGGAACUGAGAACCUGUCCAGAAUCCUCCGGUAGGCAGCAGUGGGGAAUAUUGCACAAUGGGCGCAAGCCUGAUGCAGCCAUGCCGCGUGUAUGAAGAAGGCCGUCGGGUUGGAAAGUACUUUCAGCGGGGAGGCGUUACCCGCAGAAGAAGCACCGGCUAACUCCGUGCCAGCAGCCGCGGUAAUUC
rnacentral:rRNA from 1 species